CAAUAGCAUAUAUUAAAGUUGUUGCAGUUAAAAAGCUCGUAGUUGGAUUUUGGAUUGAGUCGAACGGUCUGCCUUAUUGGUAUGAACUGUUUGGUUCUUUCUUCUUCUCGAAGACCAUGUGUGCUCUUAACUGAGUGUGCAUGGGGUUCGGGACUUUUACUGUGAGAAAAUUAGAGUGUUCAAAGCAGGCAUUUGCUUGAAUAUUGCAGCAUGGAAUAAUGGAAUAGGAUCACGAUCUUAUUUUGUUGGUUUCUAGGAUCGAGAUAAUGAUUAAUAGGGAUAGUUGGGGGCAUUAAUAUUUAAUUGUCAGAGGUGAAAUUCUUGGAUUUAUGAAAGAUUAACUUCUGCGAAAGCAUUUGCCAAGGAUGUUUUCGUUAA
rnacentral:rRNA from 1 species